GACGAACGCUGGCGGCGUGCUUAACACAUGCAAGUCGAACGGUGAAGCGCCUUCCUUUUUGGUGGGUGUGGAUGAGUGGCGAACGGGUGAGUAACACGUGAGUAACCUGCCCCCUUCUUCUGGAUAACCGCAUGAAAGUGUGGCUAAUACGGGAUAUUCUGGGUCUGUCGCAUGAUGGGUCUGGGAAAGAUAUUGUUUCGGUGGGGGAUGGGCUCGCGGCCUAUCAGCUUGUUGGUGGGGUGAUGGCCUACCAAGGCGGUGACGGGUAGCCGGCCUGAGAGGGUGGACGGUCACACUGGGACUGAGACACGGCCCAGACUCCUACGGGAGGCAGCAGUGGGGAAUAUUGCACAGUGGGCGCAAGCCUGAUGCAGCGACGCCGCGGGAGGGAUGGAGGCCUUCGGGUUGUGAACCUCCUUCGCCAGUGAAGCAGGCCUGCCUCGUUUGUGGGUGGGUUGACGGUAGCUGGAGAAGAAGCGCCGGCUAACUACGUG
rnacentral:rRNA from 1 species